AGGAACUGGCUGGAAGAUGGGGUGUGUGUGCGUAUAUGGGAGCGAGGAAAGCGCUGUAGGAAGCAUGCAGGCCGCUUUAUUUUACAGCUGUGGGAGUGGUGGACAAGGGCGGCGGCUCUGCGAGAAGCACGUGGGCGCGGCGGGCCGCCUCAGGGAUGGAGUAGGCUGUGGUCUUGCCAACUCCCGUUAUCAAAGGCCCAAGGACGCCAUUCACUCAGCCCCGGGCGGGCGUGGGUCUGGGGGCCGGAAACCCGAAGUCCUGUGGGUGCCGUGGAAUGCACGAGCAGCCGGCGGAGCAAACCUGCCCCAUAGAUUUUUCUAAACCGUUCGCCACAGAAACGCUACUCUGUCUUCUCUGACCGACUCUGUGCACUGCAGCCUUGCACAAAGAAAACAGGAGGGUGAUUUUAGAGGCUGUGUGAUCAGACUGGCUCUUAAACCCAAGAGGGACCUCCGCCCACAGCCACCCUCUGGCUCUCCUCUGGCAGUGCCCCUCUUCCGGUCAGGCUGAUGGCCCAGCUGGAGCCUGACCCUCUUCUAGACUACAUACGCUCCAUGUAGUCAGAACUCUGGACUGCUCUGCCCAAAUGGUGCCAAGUUCACUUUCAGGAUCUGGUCGGGACUCUGAACUCACUCCUGUGUCCAAGAAAUAGCUCUUCUUUGGGGUGUGGACAGUACCUGGACCUGUGGGCUAAGGUGUGCACUCCCAGGUGCUUUGGGCCCCUCGUAAUGCAGGAAGAGGGAUCAUUCGCGAUCAGCUUUAUCCUCCAUGACACCUUCCAGCCUGGCCCUUAGAGAAGUCCAGGAAUUCAUAGUUCACAACUGGCCAUCCAGCUCCGUGUAGGAGGUAUUUGUCAAGAAAACCAAAUACAGCAAGAAUGAGAGAAAUUGCACUGUUGCAUUAAAAAGAAUUUUCCUGCCGGGCGCAGUGACUCACGCCUGUAAUCUCAGCACUUGGGGAGGCCGAGGCGGGUGGAUCACGAGGUCAAGAGAUCAAGACCAUCCUCGCCAACAUGGUGAAACCCCGUCUCUACUAAAAAUACAAAAAAUUAGCCGGGUGUGGUGGCGGAUGCCUGUAGUCCCAGCUACUCAAGAAGCUGAGGCAGGAGAAUCACUUGGACCCUGGAGGCAGAGGUUGCAGUGAGCCGAGAUUUCGCCACUGCACUCCAGCCUGGCGACAUAAUGAGACUCUGUCUUAAAAAAAAAAAAAAAAGGAAUUUUCCUCUCACUUUCUUCUCACCACUACUAGAUUAAAGGAGCCCCCUUUUCUUCUGCAGGUGAGAGGUGACAGCGUGCUGGCAGUCCUCACAGCCCUCGCUCGCUCUCAGCGCCUCCUCUGCCUGGGCUCCCACUUCGGCGGCACUUUAGGAGCCCUUCAGCCCACCACUGCACUGUGGGAGCCCCUUUCUGGGCUGGCCAAGGCCGGGGCCGGCUCCCUCAGCUUGCAGGGAGGUGUGGAGAGAGAGGCGCGAGCGGGAACCGGGGCUGCGCGCGUGGCUUGAGGGCCAGCUGGAGUUCCGGGUGGGCGUGGGCUUGGCGGCCCAGCACUCGGAGCAGCCCCCUGCCGGUCCCGGGCAAUGAGGGGCUUAGCACCCAGGCCAGCGGCUGCGGAGGGUGUACUGGGUCCCCCAGCAGUGCCGGCCCACCGGUGCUGCACUCGAUUUCUCGCCGGGCAGGGCUCGGGACCUGCAGCCCACCAUGCCUGAGCCUCCCACCCCCUCCGUGGGCUCGUGUGCGGCCGGAGCCUCCCCUAGGAGCGCCGCCCCCUGCUCCAGGGCGCCCAGUCCCAUCGACCACCCAAGGGCUGAGGAGUGCCGGCGCACGGCGCGGGACUGGCAGGCAGCUCCACCUGCAGCCCCAUUGCGCGAUCCACUGGGUGAAGCCAGCUGGGCUUCUGAGUCUGGUGGGGAUGUGGAGAAGCUUUAUGUCUAGCUCAGGGAUUGUAAAUAUACCAAUCGGCACUCUGUAUCUAGCUCAAGGUUUGUAAACACACCAAUCAGCACCCCUGUCUAGCUCAGGGUUUGUGAAUGCAAUCGACACUCUGUAUCUAGCUACUCUGGUGGGGACUUGGAGAACCUUUGUGUGGACACUCUGUAUCUAGCUAAUCUGGUGGGGACGUGGAGAACCUUUAUAUCUAGCUCAGGGAUUGUAAACACACCAAUCAGCGCCCUGUCAAAACAGACCACUCAGCUCUACCAAUCAGCAGGAUGUGGGUGGGGCCAGAUAAGAGAAUAAAAGCAGGCUGCCCAUGCCAGGAGUGGCAACCUGCUCGGGUCCCAUUCCACACUAUGGGAGCUUUGUUCCUUCACUCUUUGCAAUAAAUCUUGCUGCUGCUCACUCUUUGGGUCCACACUGCCUUUAUGAGCUGUAACACUCACUGCGAAGGUCUGCAGCUUCACCACGAACCCACCGGGAGGAACGAACAACUCCAGAUGCGCCGCCUUAGGAGCUGUAACACUCGCCGCGAAGGUCCGUGGCUUCACUCCUGAGCCAGCGAGACCACGAAGCCCACCAGAAGGAAGAAAUUCCGAACACAUCCGAACAUCAGAAGGAACAAACUCUGGACACGCCACCUUUAGGAACUGUAACACUCACCGCGAGGAUCCGCGGCUUCAUUCUUGAAGUCAGUGAGACCAAGAACCCACUAAUUCCGGACACACAGGGACAGCAAUCCACUGCUUGCCUUGAUGUACGAUUGAAGCCUAUCACCCCUUCUGCAGCAGUGGCUCCAGUAAGUCUUUCAAACUUUGUGGUUUUGAUGGAGACAAAUGAGACAUCAAUUCCCCCAAUUUCCUUUGAGGGAAAAGAAGUUUCCUUUGUAAGUUUUCCUUCAAAAGCCAGCCACAGGGUCUGGUUUAAGGAAUCUGCCUAAUAGGAGUUCUGUUUUACUGGCCACUUGUUACAUAAUCUAGCAAUCAGAAGCUAAAAGAAAAGACUGUGUGUAUGGGUCUUAAGAAGAUAACACAUGCUGGGUGUGAUGGCUCAUGCCUGUAAUCCUAGCACUUUGGGAGGCCAAGGUGGGCAGAUCACUUGAGGCCAGGAGUUCGAGACUAGCCUGGCCAACAUGGCAAAACCCCU
rnacentral:lncRNA from 1 species